GCUCAGAUUGAACGCUGGCGGCAUGCUUUACACAUGCAAGUCGAACGGCAGCACGAAAGAGCUUGCUCUUUUGGUGGCGAGUGGCGAACGGGUGAGUAAUACAUUGGAACGUACCGAGUAAUGGGGGAUAACUGUCCGAAAGGAUGGCUAAUACCGCAUACGCUCUGAGGAGGAAAGCGGGGGACCUUCGGGCCUCGCGUUAUUCGAGCGGCCAAUGUCUGAUUAGCUAGUUGGUGGGGUAAAGGCCUACCAAGGCGACGAUCAGUAGUGGGUCUGAGAGGAUGAUCCGCCACACUGGGACUGAGACACGGCCCAGACUCCUACGGGAGGCAGCAGUGGGGAAUUUUGGACAAUGGGCGAAAGCCUGAUCCAGCCAUGCCGCGUGUCUGAAGAAGGCCUUCGGGUUGUAAAGGACUUUUGUCAGGGAAGAAAGGGUUUGGGUUAAUACCC
rnacentral:rRNA from 1 species